UACAGAGGUCUCAAGCGUUGUUCGGAUUCAUUGGGCGUAAAGGGUGCGUAGGCGGCUCGUUAAGUCGGGUGUGAAAUCUUGGAGCUUAACUCCGAAACUGCAUUCGAUACUGCCGUGCUUGAGGACUGGAGGGGGGACUGGAAUUCUUGGUGUAGCAGUGAAAUGCGUAGAUAUCAAGAGGAACACCAGUGGCGAAGGCGAGUCCCUGGACAACACCUGACACUGAGGCACGAAAGCUAGGGGAGCAAACAGG
rnacentral:rRNA from 1 species